rnacentral:rRNA from 1 species
AUUGAACGCUGGCGGCAGGCCUAACACAUGCAAGUCGAACGGUAACAGGAAGCAGCUUGCUGCUUUGCUGACGAGUGGCGGACGGGUGAGUAAUGUCUGGGAAACUGCCUGCUGGAGGGGGAUAACUACUGGAAACGGUAGCUACUACCGCAUAACGUCGCAAGACCAAAGAGGGGGACCUUCGGGCCUCUUGCCAUCGGAUGUGCCCAGAUGGGAUUAGCUAGUAGGUGGGGUAACGGCUCACCUAGGCGACGAUCCCUAGCGGGUCUGAGGGGAUGACCAGCCACACUGGAACUGAGACACGGUCCAUACUCCUACGGGAGGCAGCAGUGGGGAAUGUUGGACAAUGGGCGCAAGCCUGAUGCAGCCAUGCGGCGUGUAUGAAAAAGGCCUUCGGGUUGUAAAGUACUUUCAGCGGUGAGGAAGGGAGUAAAGUUAAUACCUAUGCUCAUUGACGUUACCCGGAGAAGAAGCACCGGCUAACUACGUG